UCCAUCCGCCGAGUCAUAUGGGGACCUUUCGGAGGAGGCAUUUUUGGACAGAAACUGGAGGAUACUGUUCGUUAUGAGAAGAGAUAUGGGAACCGUCUGGCUCCGAUGUUGGUGGAGCAGUGCGUGGACUUUAUCCGACAAAGGGGGCUGAAAGAAGAGGGUCUCUUUCGACUGCCAGGCCAGGCUAAUCUUGUUAAGGAGCUCCAAGAUGCCUUUGACUGUGGGGAGAAGCCAUCAUUUGACAGCAACACAGAUGUACACACGGUGGCAUCACUUCUUAAGCUGUACCUCCGAGAACUUCCAGAACCAGUUAUUCCUUAUGCGAAGUAUGAAGAUUUUUUGUCAUGUGCCAAACUGCUCAGCAAGGAAGAGGAAGCAGGUGUUAAGGAAUUAGCAAAGCAGGUGAAGAGUUUGCCAGUGGUAAAUUACAACCUCCUCAAGUAUAUUUGCAGGUUUCAUCAAAGACAUUUGUAACUGAAUUCUGUUAGAAAAAUAAUUGUGCCUGAAAAAUAUACCUCUCAAUGUAUAACUCAAGGCCUGGGAUGGGAUAUGCCAUAUAUGUGCUCCUAUUUAAGAAACCAAAUAUGCAAAAUUGAAACCGAAUAAAUUUAAAUAGAGAGUGAUGAUUGGCACUACAAGUCACUGCAGGGUGUCUUACAUGAUAGCUUCCCAGUCCAUUUUAAAAUAAAAUUCAAAGUUUUAGUUGAG
rnacentral:sRNA from 1 species